rnacentral:lncRNA from 1 species
CUAAACUUCAACCUGGGUCACACAGCAUCAGCUUGUUGAAAAAGGGAUUGUUUGUGGAGCUGCUACCAGCAGUCAGUCUGAUAGAGGAAGAGGCUGUAACAGGAUCUCUGUUGGACAAACAGCAGACGGUGAAGUGCGUACACACAGCAUGGGGAAAACACAAAGUUGGUGACAUAUCCCGCAAUGAUGCCUCACGUAGGGCAGAUGAGAGGGGCAAUGAAAAAGGAGAGGUGUGACAGGGGCGGCUGGUGGAUGGGUACCUUGAAAGUAGGUGUUUUCAGUGAGGGGAAGACAACUGGCAGUAGGUUUCAGUAACACAUCUUCACACCGUCAUUUCCCGAAAAUGUCCUUAAUACUGUAUAUCUACAGUAAUAGUGGAAUGAUAGUGUUUCACAAUAUUUUUUCCCCCCCAAAAAUGAUUGAGGCCCACACAAAAUUGCAUUCUAAUGGUGGAGCCUUCUAAUUGGUCAACAAGUCGGACCAGCUCUUGUUGUCAAAUUGACUGGGGCCAGCAAAUCUCUUGUUGUCAAUUCAACAACGGACAAAACAAGAUAUUUACUGGCCCCAGUCAAUUUGACAACAAGAGACGGUUUGUUGUUGAAUUGUUACAAGUAGUACCUUUAAGAUAUGACAUAAAACUCUCUAUCCAGUGCAGUUAAAGGUGAUGCUGUCCAAAAAUGCCUUUUCAAUCUCUGUUUCCUGUAUAUGCGGGAAAUCGUGUGCGGGAGUUAUAACAUUUUUUUUCUACAAUAUUUAAACAUUUGUAUAUCUCCUUUUUCUUUCAUCGCCAUUCCCCCAGGAAACGCCCAUGCCUGGAGAGUCGCCCAGAUGUAGAUGCAGAAGGGGGACCUGCUGCUACUGGGAGCCUACGGCUUUUACUUUACAUUUAUUUAACUAGGCUUCACUGAAUCCACCCAGGAGGUCCUCCAACGUCAGGCCUCCUACUCCUUUAUGAACUGCCCCCGGCCAAACAACUCACCCUGGGCAGUCCGCGACAAGGUGGGGAGAGAAUGUCAAGAGGAGGGGGACAAAAGGAGGGGGCGUGGGGGGAGAGGAGCUAGGGAGGUGAGGCAAAGGGGGUGUUAUCAGCAGUAAUUUAUCUUCUAAUAACACAGUUUUAUUUGAAAUUAUAACCCGAGAGUUUGUCCAGGAAAUUGACCUUUCACCAUGCCACUACAAUGUGACCGAGAAACCAGUGCCCAAGGUACCCUGCAAGUAAACACUUGCAUAAUCUAUCAUUCAAAUGUUGACAGUGUCAAAUCUGAGUCACCGCAAGCAGACUGCCUAUGAUUCAUCUCCUUGAUAUUUGAAUCAUCCCUAGAUAUCUUUUUCCUGUGAUCUUUCAUUUCUUCAAAACAUGUACAAACAACAACCUGACCUCUUCAUUUCAGUGCCACACAACAGGUCUGGCCCACUGAGGUAUAAUAAGAACUAGAGACUGCCUCCAAGAUGGCCAACCUUUGUUUUCAACGUAAUCUACUCACGUUUGCAUGCGCCAUUUUGUGGUUGCUGCCGUUUUUCUUACUGGGAUUACUAUGUCUGCGCGCUAGUGCUCAGUGCGCACUAGGCAAAAGUAUUGCGUGAACAUGAUCCGGGAACUCUGGCAGAGCACCUGGACAGCUAAACAAGCCAACCAUCACUUCCCCUGGCCAGCUGGGGUCAUGACCUCAGAGCAUGAAUAUAAAAUGUUAAUAUCUUCGGCUGUCAGUGAUGGAAGAUUUUUUUCAUUUGAAUAAUUCAAUGGAUGUUUUGUGCACAAAGUUGAAAAAAUAAAGUAUUUUAU